CUGCGCAUCCUUAGCAACUUUGGUAGCGCAACCGGGCUCCGCAUCAACCCAGCUUAGUCCACGGUCUCGCUGAUCCGAUGCGACAACAUCAAUGUUGAGGAGGUGCUCCAGGGCUUUGCGGGCUCCAUUGCCCCCUUCCCCAUCAAAUACCUAGGGUUGCCGGUCUCUAUGGGCCGCCUUCGACUGGUUCACCUACAGUUCAUCAUUGACAGAAUCAAGGCGAGGCUUUCGGUAUGGAAGGACAAGCUAUUGCCGCUGGCUGGACGCUGCGUGCUC
rnacentral:rRNA from 1 species